ensembl:miRNA gga-mir-6647 gga-mir-6647
AGUGCUUGCCCUGGCUGCUGCGCUCCGCUCUGGCCAUGUGACGCAGCUGUAAAUUCAAGUAGCUGCUUGCAUUACCAGUGGGGCACAGCACAGCCAGCACGCAGGCGAGC